GAGACUCUGUGCGCGUGCAUAUCAAUAAGCGGAGGAAAAGAAACUAACAAGGAUUCCCUUAGUAACGGCGAGUGAAGCGGGAAGAGCUCAAAUUUGAAAUCUUCAAGGGUUCUACCUUGACGAAUUGUAGUUUAAAGAAGUGUUUUCUGUUAGAUGAGGUAGGCUAAAAGUUCCUUGGAAUAGGACAUCAUAGAGGGUGAGAAUCCCGUAUUUGACUUAUUCAUUCUAGCUGUGUGAUACACUUUCAAAGAGUCGGAUUGUUUGGGAAUGCAGUCCAAAAUGGGUGGUAAAUUUCAUCUAAAGCUAAAUAUUGGCGAGAGACCGAUAGCGAACAAGUACCGUGAGGGAAAGAUGAAAAGAACUUUGAAAAGAGAGUUAAACAGUACGUGAAAUUGUCAAAAGGGAAGCGUUUGACACCAGUGUUGUUUUUCCGAAAAUCAAUUACGAAUGGCUUGAUUUUGUGUUGUAUUGACCUUAUCAGCUUUCUUCACUUUUUUCGAGUCUUUCUUAAUGCACUUUUCGGUUAACAAGUCAACAUCAAUUUCUUUUGUUGUAAAAGAGUAUUCGGAAGGUGGCUUUCUUUUCGGAGAAAGUGUUUAUAGCCCUAUACUUCUACAAUCGGAGAGAUUGAGGUCUGCAGCGUAGAUCCUUCGGGGUUAGAUACAUUUGUGCUAAGUUGUAGCUUUUCAUAGACAACUUGUUGACUAUGUUUAGUCAUGCGGCUUACUCGCUUAUGCUAUUUUACCUACGCUUAGGAUGUUGACUGAUAUGUAGUCGU
rnacentral:rRNA from 1 species